GACGAACGCUGGCGGCGUGCCUAAUACAUGCAAGUUGAGCGCUGAAGGUUGGUACUUGUACCAACUGGAUGAGCAGCGCACGGGUGAGUAACGCGUGGGGAAUCUGCCUUUGAGCGGGGGACAACAUUUGGAAACGAAUGCUAAUACCGCAUAAAAACUUUAAACACAAGUUUUAAGUUUGAAAAAUGCAAUUGCAUCACUCAAAGAUGAUCCCGCGUUGUAUUAGCUAGUUGGUGAGGUAAAGGCUCACCAAGGCGAUGAUACAUAGCCGACCUGAGAGGGUGAUCGGCCACAUUGGGACUGAGACACGGCCCAAACGCCUACGGGAGGCAGCAGUAGGGAAUCUUCGGCAAUGGACGAAAGUCUGACCGAGCAACGCCGCGUGAGUGAAGAAGGUUGUCGGAUCGUAAAACUCUGUUGGUAGAGAAGAACGUUGGUGAGAGUGGAAAGCUCAUCAAGUGACGGUAACUACCCAGAAAGGGACGGCUAACUACGUG
rnacentral:rRNA from 1 species